AAGCCCUCAGCAGCCACCUGCGGGGCGAGCCUGGUGCCCUGUCCCGUCAGUCUGCUCGGCCUCUGGCUGUGAAUGCCACACCCCGGGGCCCUGAGAGCCCCAGCUUCUGGUUGGAAGUGAAGUGCCUGUCCCCCCCAAAAAGGCCAGGUGCCUGCCAGGAGCUUGGUCCCCGGCAGGGGCCCCCAUGGAGAGGUGUCUGGGUCCCGUGGCUUCGAGCUUCACCCUUGGGAGGAUGCGCCCCGUGAGAAGCCCCCCCCCCCCCCCGCGUCUGCCCGGGGCCUUUGCACAAGCCCUGGUCCCGCGGAGAAUUCUCACUGUCAGCUGGAGCAGCCUCGAGCGGUUCUUUUUCCACUGCUUAAGAUGGUCACCUCCUGGGUAGCUGGAAUUACAGGGUGUGAAUGGGGACAGCAAGGAGGACCCGGAGACCAGCACCCUGCUUAGAGGACAGGGCAAAGGCCCGCCCAGCCCACCUCUUUAGCCCCUCUUCCUGCUGGGAGGGAGCAGAUGGCCGUACUCCCCCAGAACAACUGGGACCCCCCACGUACCCUAGAAGCCACGCGCCUCUCUACACCGAGGGACGGCCGCUCGCAGAGCCUGAGGGCCGUUAAAGAGCGCGGUUCCCUUUCCUUCGGGUCUGAGACGGGGACCACCUCCGUACCUGACACCUUCGCCCACUGGAGGGGCUCCUCCAACAGAACCACGCCUCCAACCCAAGUUCUGCUUUCUGAGUUUGAAGGCGUUUGUGUCGAGAGUGGGUCUAGAUGUAAGAAGAGGCCGGAUCAGCCAGGCCGUCAGUGGCUCUUGCCUGUCACCCUAGCUGCUGAGGAUCGGGGUUCAAAGCCAGCCCAGGUAGGAAAGUCUGUGA